UUCUCACCUCCAUGCACUCACCACCACACACUCACCACCACACACUCACCACCGCACACUCACCACCAUGCACUCACCACCACACACUCACUUCGACAACCCUCCCUCAUCAAUAAAUACCUGUAUCAAAACAGGGGAAUCACAACUUGCAAAGUAAUCGAAAAAUCCAGAAACAAUGAGUACAAAUUUACGCCAGCUACAAAAAACAAAAUAUGGGAUGAUCCAGGCAUCAAAUAGAAUAAGAGGUGAUCCAUGCGUAGACAAUAGUAUUCAACUCAGGUGUAAUGAAAGGUUCCGGUGGGCUUAAUUCUCGACUAAGUUGCGCCCAGGUAUCAUCACGUUUGGAACUGAAAGGUAGAAUGGGUAAAAGCAGACAUAACCAGGUCUGCGUCUGGCGCCAUGCUAUACAAGACCUCACGGGCAGGUCUGCGUCUGGCGCCAUGCUAUACAAGACCUCACGGGCAGGUCUGCGUCUGGCGCCAUGUGAUACACGUCCUCAUGACAAGGUCUGCCUCUGGCGCCACAUACCCUACUGCAGCGCCAUAUAUCCUGGCCAGACCCUGACGGUUUUGUAAGCAAUUAUUAGAAACAAAUAACUCAACACAGCAACUAGCAAGCACCUGACAUGUAAAUACGGCUGGGGUAUAUUAUUUUUCUAAGUUACUUAUAUAAUAAUAAGAACUAAUGAUCAUGAUAAAGCAACUAUUCAUCUAAUAAUAAAUCAGAAAUGUAGAGUUUCUACAAAAAAAUCUUAAAUAUUAAAGCAUUUUCACCUUGGAGAAACGUAUUCAAUGAAUUGAAAAUUAAACAGAUUUUUUGUAAAUCCAUGAACGAGCAUAUUUACUAUAAUAUAUAUAUUUAACUGAUGUGCUUUUCAACGCCUGAGUCCUCAGAGAAUUGCAUAAACUCUGUCACGUGUACCAACACUGUGCGCUGUUGGCUAUGUUGGUGAAGCUCCUUUCACACAAUAGAGUAAUAUUUCAUCAGAACACGUGUGAUUAGUGUUCAUUUAAAGAAUUAAAUGUUGGAAAUUACUUAAAGAUUGCAAAUUUUAUUUAUUAACGUAAUUUUUUGUUUUUUUUUUAGGGCUAAAAUGGGUUUCAAUCAAAAACGCAUUAAAUAUUGCAAAAUGUCAUGUCAUUACUUCAAUUGAUCUUCAUUUACAAAGCUUUAAUGUAAAUCAAAUUUAAGAAAAAAAUUAAUUGCAAUAAUUUUCGGUUACAAGUCAAACUGCAAGACAAUAUACCUGAUAAAUAGUUCAACCUCAAGCGUGUACAGUUAAGCUGUGGGCAAGAAAGAACUGGAGCAAAUUUAAUAACCUCUCAAGUACUCUCCUAACACUAGGAUACAACAUGGCGGUGUCAGUACUCUCCCUACAUUGAGAUGAGGCAGAGUAGAUCCAGUACUCUCACUUCUCAGAAGUACGGGAGAGUAGCGCCAGUACUUGUCCUCUUGACCCUGUGUACAGUCCGUGUUAUCCUUGGUAAGUAUAAGGACCCCCGCGACUCGCCUCACACACCUCCUCCGUUACCCACUACAUCACAACACUGUAAAUAUUCCCAACCUCCAACACAGAUGUCCAACACCUAUCAUAGCUUCUCCCAUACCUAAUACAGCUCCCUAAUGCAUCGAUCGGUUCCAUUAUAAAGUUUGACUUUUUGACAUUGUUUCUACCCUUCCCUUUACAAACAAAAAUAAUAUAUUUUUUCUGGAUUAACAUGUCCUGUUUUUCUUCGACUACUUUGACAAUAAACUUUAGGCAGGGUUAUAUCAUCAGAGUAUUAAUAUAUAAGUCGGUUUCUAAAUACGUUUUCCACUUUUAUAAACAUAAAUGCGGAUUAUUCUCAGCUGUUCCUACUCCCACCUCUUGAUCACAAGCCAAAGAUUUGUACACGAAGUUUAAAAUAUGACUUGAAAACAAAGGGAAAAUAAACGAAAACCAAAAAUCCACGAAGCACAAGUAAUUUGCAAUAGUGGAUUCGUGUCCCUUUUAUUUUAUAUAUAUGUAUAUAUAAUACAUGUACUUGAAACACUUUAUUCUUAAUAUCUGUCGUAAUCAGUUUACUCUAAAGUGGGUGUGAACUAGAAGGCAGUGCAUUAAGCUGCCAGCAGCAGGCGCAGUCACUCAACCAGGCUCGUGCUUAGACUCGCUCCUCUCAUCCAGUUAAUCAUAUAUUUUAUUAUCUGGAUGUCCCCCUCCCCGUCAUUAUUGUGUUAUAGAGAAAUCAGCCUUCACGCGCUGCGCGGACAACCGUAAAACCGUGUUUCUAUGGACAGUUGUGGGUAAUACAAACGGGUACAUCUAUCAACAGCGGUAACACAAACAGGUGUAUAGUCAACAUAUGUGGGGGGAAGAGGAGGGUAGGGGGAGAGAAACACCUGUGUUUCAGACUGCUGCUGUGGGAGGAGGGGAAGGGGUGGACACAGACACCUGUGUUCAUAAACUGGUACGAGUUCACAAUCCUCCACAAUCGACUUGAGAAUGGUCCAGGACGGACCGAAACGUCGUCGUCCCUUCACCUUCUAGUGUGUGGUCUGGUCAACAAACUGGUACGAGUUCGGACACUCGGGUCAUCCGUAGAGUGCAGAAGGUUGUUGCCCUAGACCUCCUCCCUCACCCGCUGGUCACCGCUGGGAAGUACACCCGUUGACUUCAAUAUGGUGCUCAAGACUAAAAUCCUCUCCUUUUGACCAAUUCGCCCGUCGCAACCCAAGUCAGUUUGGCGAGGAACCUAGUCACUCCUGAUAGCUUAUCCGAUAAGCCAGCAUUGUUCACAUCUCCUGUUGGCUUCCCAUCGAUAUUCACAGACUCACCCAACCAACUAUCUAUCCUUCUCUAUGUCACUUCCCAUCAACCAAUCCUUACAGAUAGCUUAUCUUUGUCAAUCAAAUCAGAGGUGAUCAAAACUACAUAAGAAAUUAUAUACAUGGAGAAAACAUUAAUGUAUAAUAUUGUAUUUAUGUGUAACUGUACAUGUACCGAUAGGAUUAAGGACACGCAGUAUGGAUAAUCUAGUCUUUAUAAUCGUGUUUGUAAAUGUUAUUAACUAAUUCUUAAAUUAAAUCCUACUUUUAUUA